ACACAGGGCAAUGGCAUCAGAGGGCACUGAGCCAGCCAGGUCGUCUAAUGCAUGCUCAAGGUUUUUCGGCAGACUGUGUGUGUCUGUGUGUGUUAUAGUGUUAUGACUUGUGCAGAAAGCUUUCAAAGGCCACGCCUCCUCCACCUCUCUCUCUCUCUCUCUCUCUCUUGCAGGCAGCUAGCUUUACGCAUUGAACUAUCUAUAUACUAGCUUGACAUUUACGGAGUUUAUUAUUAGUGUGAAAGACACAGUGCUUCGAACAGACCGUACUGGUGUUCUCUCGCAGAAUAUGAGUAAAAGUUGAAUCAGGAGUGAAUGGCCAUAACAUUCAUCACGUGGAUAGUAUUGCUUACAGAUCGAAUUUGCACUACCGGCCUGCUUACUGACUGAUCUUGAUAUUAUAAAUUCAGGAUUCUUUAUUUUCUGCAGGAGAAUUUUCUUAUCACAAUAUUUAGUGAGUUUUCAAGGAAGUAAACAUUGCAUCGGUUGCUUCAGAUUCAGUGUUUGUGGAAUAUCUUCACUCCGUUAGACAAACUGACCGCUUUGGAUGUUGUAUGCAAGCGUUGCCCCGACCAGUUGCGAUAGAAUGCACCACAUGUCUCAGACGCAGAUCGAGAGCAGCAACCAGCCACUCAACCUUAGCCACCCCUCCAAGCUCAAAGCCAAGCUGUCGGCCCGUCACCACCACGCCAUGACCGCCGCGGCCCGUUCCCGCUCCCCAUCCAGCUCGCCCCCAUCUUCCAUCUCCUCCACGACCCCAUCAUCCAUCACCAAACCCAAAGCCAGGAUGGGAUCGCAUCACCACCACCAUCACCAUCAUCACCACCAUCACCACGACGAUAAGGAACGCUCCUGCAAUUGUCCACAGCUAGACUCGAAGAACACUAUCCUCUACCGACUCCUGACAGAAGGGUACAGCUAUUGGACUCCUGUUUGUUGUAUUGGUGGAAAGUGCCACGAUGGACACAUCCUAGGACAGAGCAAGUUAAAAAUUCUCCUGGAGGAGAGCAAGAGACAAGCAGUGCAAUAAGGGCUGCUCCUAGCGAGAAUCCAUGGGCUAGCGGCAAUAAGUGAUUUAGGACUAUUUAUUGUUAGAUGUUCGAGGGUUGUCGAGCGCCGGUCUGGUGGAAACCCUUCAGGGCCACACCCAGCUCAAGCUCUCGGAGUACGUCACCGCACUGCACCCCCGGGACCCCCUCCGCUUCGCCCACCUCCUCCUCAGCCUGCCCCCGUUGCGUAACGUGCGCCCUCGUGUGGUCACCCAGCUAUUCUUCCGUGACCUGAUCGGAGAGGCAGUGGAGAUGGAGGAGAUUCUUCAACAGAUGCUCCUUGGCGAGUGAUCAUCAUCUUUGGCAAUACCAAGGAUGGUUCAGGAUCAGAGAACAAAGGAUAAAUGGAUGAAAGACAACUUUAAAAUGAAAUAGAAUCAGUUUUAUGAGAUGGGAAGGAUGCUUUGGAAUCUAAAAAAGUGGGGUUUUUGUAUUUUCGGCAAGGUAUAUACAGUAAAAUUCUGGCAAAAAUAACAAUUUGUUAAGAGUAAAGUAGGUUGAUUUAGAUUGUAAUUCCAAUUGCAACUGGCACUCAUGAAAGUAGAAAGUUGCUGAUUUAAAUAGCUAUUCCAUGACUAGGGCAUACUGAAAUUGAAUGACUGAAAGUUAAACACAACUCUGUAUAUAUACAUGUAUACAAAAAUUUGGAGAAAAUCCUCUCCGCCAACAGGAUUUUUUGACUUGUUUAUAUGGGCUCAAAAUUUUUCACAAUUUCUAAUUUAAAUGCAAUGCAUUUUCACCUUCUCUUUGGAUAACUCUGCUCAAAAUCUUGACAUAAACAGUGUUCAAGGUGUUUAUAACGGGGCAGAAUGAUGUUGGUUUGGAACUUGAUAAUAUACUAGGAGUAAGAGGCGGGUCCACAGGAAACCAAGAAAUACUGUUGCCAUGGCGAUGAAGAUGAGAUGAAGCAUGGGCGGGCGGGGUCGGGAUCGGUUGUGUGCAUCAGAGAGAGAGGAGACAAAAUGGGUGAGACUAGGGAACGUGUUGGUACCCUUUUUUUCACCCACAAAUUUGUACUAUUGUUCACUUCCAUUUUAAGAGAGACUUGAUUCCCACCAUAGAGCAUAUCACCAAAGAUGACCAUCAAAAUCGAUGUAAAAAGUGCAAAAUAAGGAUUAAAAACAAAAAAAAUAUAGAUUUAUCUCACUUUAUAUGUUGACACCUUUAAAUGUUUAUGUGAGAAAGAGUAGUGUGGAGAACUGGUCUUUAUUUUUUAUUCUCUUGUAAGGGAUGGGUUUGUUUAAGAUGCUUGAGUGUACCUCACACUGAAUAACACUUUUGUGUUAAUGCUACACCAGUGUUUACCUACAUGUGGGAUAUUACCAAGUAUUUCAGUGUUAAAUUCAUGAUAUCAUUUGAGAACAUGAACGGGUGUUAUCAUAACAAAUCCUGUAUAUUUUAUUUGAACACUGUUUUGUGUUAUGUUCAAAUGUCAAAGCGUACUGUUAACACCGGAGAGUGAAGUGCACUCAGAGCACCAACCGGUUCUUCUUAACACCUUUGUUUUUACCGUGUAUGUGAAGAGAGGUACUGAAAAGAUGUAGUGUAUGGCUUGAUAUCACUAUGUUGCCGAGCAAAGCCAUUAUUUCUAUUUUGAUGCCCUCUACCCACGAAAUGCAAUGUGUGGCCACUGUGUCAUCUAUUGGGCGUGUCUCCAAUCGGGUGUGGCCCUCAAUGAGGACCUGUGGUGUAGGACCAAUUGAGCACACACAAGAUCAGACGGGCGCGUUAUGGGUCAACAAUGGCGUGCCCCUCCAAUUCUUGUGCUCAGUGUACCUAUUACUGAUGACAGAGAUACACGCUCAUGUAUUCAAUUAACAAACACAUUGUUCAAAGGAGGGGGGGGGGGUGAUUGAUUGUGUGACAGUGACCCCCCACCCAACUUGAAUACAUGGCAUGAUGACUUUGAUCGCCAUGCAUGGACUAUUGCAGUACCUCUCCAAAUAAAAUUCAUCAAAAAGAAAUAUCAGUUGGUGUAUGGUUAGCUCGGGUGACGAAGCACGGAACAAUACUUCAGUAUUUCUGUCUUGUUACUGAGCAAAGCACUAAUGUGACAGCUUGUUAAUCGUUCGGUAGUCAAAGAUUUAUUAACCCGUCAUGAUAAAUGUUACAAUGCUUUCUGUUAGUAGAACUCUCUUUAUUAUUUGAGGGAACCCAAUUCUUUUUUCUUUCGUCAGCCAAGCUGAACCUGUUUUUUCAGAUAGAAUAUAGGACAGAAUAUUUCUAGAUCAAAGCAACAAUUUAUUUGAUUUCUUAUCUUUCUUUAUGAUAUGUCUCAAUUAAAAAAUAAAAUUGUCUGAUACAGGAUUAUUUGCAUUAAAUUUUCUACUGUGUUUGAGGAUGAAAACGGUAGCAUCAGUAGUCAUUUGAAAACACUGACUAUUUCAGAUACCUUCUUGCUGCUGGAUUUGAGGGUAAAACUGCAAUUUACUGACCCUAAAUCAAGUUUUCAUCUUUUUUGGUUUUUGUCUGUAUUGAUUCCAAUGAAGUCUGUGCUGAGUUUCUUGUUAAAAGGUUGUAUAGAAAUAUCUUGAAGACUAUCUAUGUUUGAAAUUCUGAGACAAAGGCCUGUAUUCUAAAGUCCGAUCUGAGCAAAAAAAAUGAUGGUAAUCUUGUAAAAAUGUCAAUUUUUGUUGUGGUCACUGCACUGUGCUCUUUUCGUCAUGCCAUCAUGUCAAAGAAAACUAACUCGGUCUUCAUUCUCAAAGAGUUAUGAAUGACCUGAAUAACUGAUAAAUUGAUUAAACCAAACCUGUGGUAUUAUGUCAUGUCACGCACUUCGGUGUUAAAUUCAAAAUCUGUGGUGUAUUUUUAACACCUGAGGACAUGGUUAUCACAACAUAGACUGGUGUUUCUAACACCUCAAUUGUAACACUUUGGUCUAAUUCUUUUGUUAGCUAUAGAAAGCCAGAUGUGACAGAAUUUUGUAAUGGGGGCUCUUCAAAGGUCAUUUGGAGCUCGAACUAUUAAUAAGUGAAAAAAUGACAUGAAUGGUUUUCUCCGCCAUCAAAAUUUGAAAAAAAGAGUGAAAAUGGGAAACAUUUAGUGUAUUAACAGAGUUUUGUAGCAUUUUUGGCAUCCCUUUAAUAUUUAUCACAGAGUUAACCCAUUACUUGUUGGAAGUGGAUGGUCCUUAUACAAGGCUAUUGGGAUUACAGAAUUGAGAAGCCAUUGGAUUAGAUCAGAGUUUAGAAUAUGGGCCAUUUACUUGUGAAGUCUCUUUGUCACCAAUUUAUUUAUUUCUGACUUUGGAGAGAAAAUUGAGAUGUGUCGAACUCAACCACUGGGGUAUGAAUAUAUUUUGCAAGUUUCUUGUUCAGUUUUGAAAAAUCAGGGAUACUUAGUUUAUAGUUGCGUAGCUGUAGCACGUAAGGACUAUUUGAAAUAAAUAUAGUCAAGGCUUUGAUGAAGAUAUGAAAUAACUUGUUUUUUGUUUUGGUUGAGUUUUUAUCAAUCAUGUUGAUGAAGGAGAGAGAUGAAGAGAGACCUUGUACAUUUUUUUUCAUUUUCCUCUCGCCUUUGUUCUCUGUGUGUUGUUAUGUAUAUAUGAAGAUACAUUGAUUGUAAUAUACCGAAGAAAACAGACAAUGAGAACAUUUUAAAAAUGUUUUUCUUGUUCUUUGUUUAAUGAAUGUGCUGCACCUUCUAAUUUAUUUCUACAAGAAAACAAGCACCUCCUGUCCUAUUCUUGCGUAUCAAAAAAAGAGAGAAAAUUUAAAAAAAAACUAAGUGCGAAGUGAAAAAGGAAACGAGGCACGUUGUUACAACAUUAAUGUCUGCUAAUGAUUUGUUAUGUUCUGUGCUUUAGGAAAUCGAAAGGAAUAGUUUAAGGAGCAGAAUUUGAUUUAGUAUUGAUUGAGAUUAUUAAUAAAUUUGGACUAGCAACGUAGAAAUAACUUUAUUUUAACAAUGGAUCUUUUACAAUCUUCGAGUCAACUUGAUAAAAUGGCACAAGUGAAAUAAAGAUUUAAAAAAAAAAAAAUUCUUCAAAUUUUUAAGUGACAUGUCUAACAUGAAAAAAUCUCAAAUGCAUUAAUGUAAUGUUUUUAAAGAGGAUAUGCACAUUUAUCUUUGAAUGUAAACCAUUUCUGGUUAUUGUAAUUAGUUUAUUUAUUGAGAGUUAAUUUGACCCAAAUAGAUGUCGAUUUUUUUGAAGAAAAACAGAAAAAAUAUUCAUCUUGCUGUCUUAGCUUAUUAAAUGAAGAGAGAGAUAGCUUUGAAAGCAUUCCUUUAUAAAAAAAAGAAUAAGAAAAAGCUCUAUUUUGUACUGAAAUAUUGGGGUCGGAACUGAAAUAAGUUGAAAUGUAACUGUAGUGUAGUAGAGUUGUAGUUAGAAAGAGAGUUGUGCAUUGACAAAUGGAUAUUUUGUACAGGUAAUUAAAUCAACACAUUUUUUCUACCCUUUUUUUAGUUGAAGUAAGGCUUUUUGAACCCACUAAUAUGUCAAAGAUAAUUUGAUGACGUAAUGAAAUAAAAUGCAUCUUGUGAAAUUUAUUUGGAUUUCCAAGAUCUUCAAAAUUAACCCAAGAAAUUAAGAUAUGUUAUGUACGAUAUUUUCAUGAUUGACACAAUAAUCAAUGCAUUUAUUGAAGACAUGUGUUGGAAAUAACAGAGCAUGCAUCACCUUGCACUAGCUUCAGCUGUUUAGUCCAACUUGCUCUAUUUUCUCUGUUUAUUUCAGAAUACUGAGUUGAUUUUAAGCUCCUGAAAUGGAAAGGAGUCAAGAUUUUUUUUUUCUCGAUAAGCAGGAAGUCAAACUUGGUAGAGUUUAAAACAUGAGAUAUGUCUUGGUGUUUACAAAACACAUUGUCCAAACUUAUAUUGUCAACAAUGAAAAAAAUGCUAAGGAUUUGUCUUGGUUCAUAAUGAAUGGAUUCUUCAGGCUGUUUCAAACUUGGCAAAUGUGUGGAGAUGCUUUCAAAUGUGGGACUCCUCCAUUUUGGAAGCAUAUCCCUUGUAACUCUUUCCCAAAUCUUGCCAGAAGAUGGCGCCAUUCAACAUUGCCACUUGUUUUAUAAGUACCACAAUACAGAAUAGAAGUGACUACGGUACUAAAGAUUUGAACACCAUUUUUGCAUCCACUAUUACACGAUAUUAAAACCUGAAUAUCUUCUUUAGGAGGAAUACCGAUGCAGUUCUGGGUUUCUAAAGUACCUCCUUGCUCUUAGGUAUCAGAUACCUGAUGGGUGUUUCAUGAAAGUUGUCAGCACUGACUAAAUUGUUAGCGCUGACUGUUGGUGAAAUCCUUGCUUUUGAUUGGCUGAGGAGCACUGGCCUCUGACUGUUACUAUGGUAACUGUCAGAGCAGAAAACUUGUUAGUGCCGACAACUUUCAAGAAACAGUCCCCAAGAUUGCAUCUCUAAAGGUAGUCUAUAAAAGUCAGAGUACUCAUGUAAGGAGAGACACAACAUGGGGGGGGGGGCUGAUUUCAUUGAAACAAAAUGUUGUUAGAUUGUUUGCUAAUGGGAUAAUGUAGGCAUAUGCUUUGAAAAAAAGUACUGCAUUAUUAAUAGUGAAAUCAAAAUAGCUUCAAUUAUGAUCUGUUACUGGUCAGUUUAAAUGUGUGGAUCAUCCUUAGGAUCCACCCCCCACCCCCCUCGUCUUGAACUCUGUAGUGUAAUGUGUUCUUUGAGCAUUGAUGGGUAUCCUUAUGCUCACUGAAACUUGGAGAUCCCUGUACAAAACGUAUAUGAUUGACAUAAUUUCUUUGUCAACAACGUGCGAAGGAUAUUAUUAUCUUCAGACAGAUUUAAGUGACUGUAUGUCAAAAUCCAUUGUUUUCAGAUCCCGUGCUGAGCACUUUAAAAGCGUUCUUUUUAAAGAUGUACGUAUGUAAGGCAACAGAUGGAAAAUUGAAUAAAUGUCACUGUGUUCUGGAAGCGGUUGUUUUCGUUUAUGCUUAGUAUUAUUAAUAGUCCGGCACAAUGGCUACAUGAAGAAACAAUUAUCUGUGUGUUUCGUUGUUGACAUGUUUCUUAUAUUAGUUUGUUUCUGUUUUUGUGUAUGAUUGAAAGAACAUUAAAAUCGUGAAUAUAAUGCAGAA